UUUUCCAUAGUUAACCGGUGCUAGCCGGUACUUCGGUACUGGCUCAGUAGGAUCAGCUCUCAACUCAGCCAGUAGCGUCCCCGGAGCUGCAUCUUCCCUCAGGAACAGCGCUGGAGGUGGAGGCUGGACCCUUGGGGCUCUUUCUCCUGGGCCGAGGAUGUAGACGGAGACGCCGGCGGAACCAGCUCGGUUGCCGCCGUCGCGAGCGCGAGCCCAGACCACGACGGACCGAGAUGC